UACGGAGGGGGCAAGCGUUGUUCGGAAUUAUUGGGCGUAAAGGGCUCGUAGGCGGCCAACUACGUCGGAUGUGAAAUCCCCAGGCUCAACUUGGGAACUGCAUCCGAUACUGGAUGGCUUGAAUUCGGGAGAGGGAUGCAGAAUUCCAGGUGUAGCGGUGAAAUGCGUAGAUAUCAGGAGGAACACCUGCGGUGUAGACGGCUUUCUGGACCAUUGUUGACGCUGAGACACGAAAGCGUGGGUAGCAAACAGG
rnacentral:rRNA from 1 species